rnacentral:snRNA from 1 species
AAAACAAAUAUUUGUUUGACAAA